CGGCAAGCCUACACAUGCAAGUCGAACGGUAACUUUUGGUGCUUGCACCGAAAGACGAGUGGCGAACGGGUGCGUAACGCGUAUGCAAUCUGCCUUUUACUAGGGUAUAGCCCAGAGAAAUUUGGAUUAAUCCCCUAUAAUAUCAUUUAAUCGCAUGAUUUUAUGAUUAAAGCUUCGGCGGUAAAAGAUGAGCAUGCGUCCUAUUAGUUAGUAGGUGAGGUAACGGCUCACCUAGACUCCGAUAGGUAGGGGUCCUGAGAGGGAGAUCCCCCACACUGGUACUGAGACACGGACCAGACUCCUACGGGAGGCAGCAGUGAGGAAUAUUGGACAAUGGACGAAAGUCUGAUCCAGCUAUGCCGCGUGCAGGAUGACGGCCCUAUGGGUUGUAAACUGCUUUUAUACAGGAAGAAAAACUCCGACGUGUCGGAACUUGACGGUACUGUAAGAAUAAGGAUCGG
rnacentral:rRNA from 1 species